CAUGCAAGUCGAGCGGAAGUAUUUGAGGAGCUUGCUUUUUGGAUACUUUAGCGGCGGACGGGUGAGUAACGCGUGAGUAACCUGGCCUGUACAGAGGGAUAACAGUUAGAAAUGACUGCUAAUACCGCAUAAGACCACAGUACCGCAUGGUACAGGGGUCAAAGAUUUAUCGGUACAGGAUGGACUCGCGUCCCAUUAGCUAGUUGGCGGGAUAACAGCCCACCAAGGCGACGAUGGGUAGCCGACCUGAGAGGGUGAUCGGCCACACUGGGACUGAGACACGGCCCAGACUCCUACGGGAGGCAGCAGUGGGGAAUAUUGGGCAAUGGGCGCAAGCCUGACCCAGCAACGCCGCGUGAAGGAAGAAGGUCUUCGGAUUGUAAACUUUUGUCGCCGGGAACGAUAAUGACGGUACCCGGUAAGAAAGCCCCGGCUAACUACGUGCCAGCAGCCGCGGUAAUACGUAGGGGGCGAGCGUUGUCC
rnacentral:rRNA from 1 species